rnacentral:tRNA from 1 species
CCUUUGAUAGCUCAGCUGGUAGAGUGGAGGACUGUAGAUCCUUAGAUCGCUGGUUGAAUUCCGGCUCGAAGGA